rnacentral:rRNA from 1 species
UAAGGAAUAUUGGUCAAUGCCCGGAAGGGUGAACCAGCCAUCCCGCGUGAAGGAUGAAGGGGCUCUGCCUUGUAAACUUCUUUUGAAUGGGACGAAAAAGCCUCACUUGUGAGGAACUGACGGUACCAUUAGAAUAAGCACCGGCUAACUCCGUGCCAGCAGCCGCGGUAAUACGGAGGGUGCGAGCGUUAUCCGGAAUCACUGGGUUUAAAGGGUGCGUAGGCGGCUGUAUAAGUCAGUGGUGAAGGGCUGUGGCUUAACCAUGGGAUUGCCAUUGAUACUGUACGGCUUGAAUUAGGAUGAGGUUGGCGGAAUGUGACAUGUAGCGGUGAAAUGCUUAGAUAUGUCAUGGAACAUCGAUUGCGAAGGCAGCUGACUGGACCUUAAUUGACGCUGAGGCACGAAAGCGUGGGGAGCGAACAGGAUUAGAUACCCCUGUAGUCCCUGAGCGGGCUGGCAAGGCGCAU